AGUGAACGCUGGCGGUAGGCCUAACACAUGCAAGUCGAACGGCAGCACAGUAAGAGCUUGCUCUUACGGGUGGCGAGUGGCGGACGGGUGAGGAAUACAUCGGAAUCUACUUUUUCGUGGGGGAUAACGUAGGGAAACUUACGCUAAUACCGCAUACGACCUACGGGUGAAAGCAGGGGAUCUUCGGACCUUGCGCGAUUGAAUGAGCCGAUGUCGGAUUAGCUAGUUGGCGUGGUAAAGGCCCACCAAGGCGACGAUCCGUAGCUGGUCUGAGAGGAUGAUCAGCCACACUGGAACUGAGACACGGUCCAGACUCCUACGGGAGGCAGCAGUAGGGAAUAUUGGACAAUGGGCGCAAGCCUGAUCCAGCCAUACCGCGUGGGUGAAGAAGGCCUUCGGGUUGUAAAGCCCUUUUGUUGGGAAAGAAAAGCAGCAGGUUAAUACCCCGCUGUUCUGACGGUACCCAAAGAAUAAGCACCGGCUAACUUCGUG
rnacentral:rRNA from 1 species